UUUUCCGGGGUUACUUAUAAGAGGAAUUUUUGUUUUCAAUUUUUAGGAUUGUAAUUUGUUAAAUUACUUGAAAAGCGCUACUGAAGGAAAGGCUUUAUUAGCAACUUAUAAUGCUGAUGGUUUGUUGGACAAUAGUGGACGAAGAAAAAUUUGUAAUUUAACUGUCAAAAGAGAGCUUCAAGAAGAUUCUGAAAAAUCGGUUAAAACUCAAAGAUUACUUUUUUUUAUCUCAAGAGAACAAAAGUUUCCCCUAAAGAACAUUUAAGUGCAUAUUUCAUACUCUACAUGUACUAUGACCCGUCAAUAAAAAAAGCAGCUAAAGGAAACUUCUUGAUUGCUUCAACAACAAAAGAAGAUAAUCUUUGACCAAUCGUUCCCCUUAUUUUGAAAAUUCUUCGGCUUCACUUUUGUUGAAUCAGACUACAUCAGAAAUUGUAAAUUUCGAUGAACAAAUACAAUGGUUAAAUAAUUUGUGUGACCCUUGGAAUUUGAUACAGAAAUAUUGGAAAUCACUAGAACUAAACGUUUAAAAGAUAUACUCAGUUUAAAUUCUAAAGGUGCUACUCAACCUUCUGAUUACAUGAAAAGUUUUCCAGCUUUAAAAAAUCUGUCUGGCUAUAUUUUUUUUAUAGAAGAUUUUAACUCCAUCUAUACAGAAAGAAAGGAAAACUGUUUUGAAAAUUUCCCUGUGUACAAAGACAAGAUUCUUCAAUUAAGACAAAAAAUAUAUAAUACACUCAAGAAUACUAGUUAAAAGUGUAUUAUAAAAGACUAUCUAAAUCUGGCAAUAGAACCCGGAGAAACUUCAUCUGUAGCAGCGUUUAUCAUACUUCUAUUACUCUUCUUUCCUGUUACAACCAAGAGGAAAAAAGGAAUACCUGCUUGGAGACCUUCAAAAAUUGAAUCCAGAGAUGGCUUAUUACACAUACAAAAUCAAAUUCAGAAUUUAUUGAGACAAUUAUAAGACGGAAACAAAAGUAUAAUCGAUUAGGUUUAACUUUACAGCCUCUUAUUAUAAUAGUAGGACCUAGUAUUAAUGAAAUUUCUAAAUAUUUUGUUCUUGUUAACGAUACAUAUUAUGUUUUAAACUCAAUUGUAACUACAGUAGAUACUUGUUUCAACAUUUUUCAUGCUUUAAAUUUACUUUAUCCGGUAGAAAGUUUGCCCAUAUGGAAUUUUAUUCAAAAAGAUUUUUAUAAAAUAAAAACUGCUCAUAAUUCAGAUUACGUUUCUGUUAAUUCUCUGCUCAGUGAUCUAGACAUUAAUUUUAUUUAAUAACUUAAAUUAUUAACUAAGCCAAUUCCUCUAGUAUCGACGUAAUAUUUGUAUGAGUUAGGCUAUUAGGCAACAACUACUUUUCGACAAUCUGUUUAUUAAGGGAAAUUUAGGUAAUACUAUUGAAUCAGUUUCUUCUAACAACUUAAUUAGUGAAACUGAUAUCCAAAAUAUAAAAAGAUUUAUGGUAAUAGAUUCUUUAGAUUCACUUAUUAGUUGUUCUUGGAUUUCUAUUAAAGAUACUAAGUAUCAAAUCAAAAUGAUUCUUACUCUUGAUGUAAACCAAAAUAGUCUCCCUGAGUUUAGUAUCAUAAAUGAUGUAUAUUUUUAUAAUAAUACAGUAGUUGUAUUUAAAUGUUUAAAAUUAAAUAUUGAUUUUGAUGAGAAUUUUUGUUCAUAUGAAGUAAUUACACCUAGAAUUAAUGAAGUCCUUAUAUAUCAUAUGCUCUAUUCUCAUAUUCCUAAUAAUGCCAGUGUACUGUCAAAUGGCUCUACAUGUGUUACAUUGAGAAGUGCCAUUUAAUAUUAUUGUUAUUCACUUGUGCAGUAACUAUAAGUUUAUUUACAUCCUUCAGAUUCU